UACGUAGGGCGCAAGCGUUGUCCGGAAUUAUUGGGCGUAAAGAGCUCGUAGGCGGUUUGUCGCGUCGGAUGUGAAAGCCCGGGGCUUAACCCCGGGUCUGCAUUCGAUACGGGCAGACUAGAGUGUGGUAGGGGAGAUCGGAAUUCCUGGUGUAGCGGUGAAAUGCGCAGAUAUCAGGAGGAACACCGGUGGCGAAGGCGGAUCUCUGGGCCUGUCCUGACGCUCAGGCGCGAAAGCUAGGGGAGCAAACAGG
rnacentral:rRNA from 1 species